GUGAUUGCUUCGGCAGCACAUAUACUAAAAUUUGUACACUAGAGAGAAGAUUAGCUUGGGUCUGCGCAAGAAUGACAUGCAAAUUGGUGAAGAGUUCAAUAUUUUU